CGGGUGAGUAAUGUCUGGGAAACUGCCCGAUGGAGGGGGAUAACUACUGGAAACGGUAGCUAAUACCGCAUAACGUCGCAAGACCAAAGAGGGGGACCUUAGGGCCUCUUGCCAUCGGAUGUGCCCAGAUGGGAUUAGCUAGUAGGUGGGGUAAUGGCUCACCUAGGCGACGAUCCCUAGCUGGUCUGAGAGGAUGACCAGCCACACUGGAACUGAGACACGGUCCAG
rnacentral:rRNA from 1 species